UACGAGGGGGGCAACUGUUGUUCGGAAUCACUGGGCGUAAAGGGAGCGUAGGCGGGUUCUUAAGUAAGGUGUUUAAUCCCGGGGCCCAACCCCGGACCGGCACUUUAAACUGGGAAUCUUGAAUAGUGGAGAGGUCAGUGGAAUUGGGGGUGUAGCGGUGGAAUGCGUAGAGAUCCCCAAGAACACCAGUUGCGAAGGCGGCUGACUGGACACAUAUUGACGCUGAGGUGCGAAAGCGUGGGGAGCAAACAGG
rnacentral:rRNA from 1 species